CGGUAAAAAGUGUUUUACAUGGACAUUUUUUUAUUUCCUUCGAUUGAUGAUUCAAUCGAAUAAAUAUCAAAGAAUAAUUUCACCAAAUGUAAUGAAAUUAUUGACUCAACAAAAAGUGCCUUACACCAUCGCUUAUGUUUCGUGAUAAAACCAAAGUGCUCUUCGAUAAAUAAAAUUGAAUUCUUUAGCUGGACUUUUUAAGUAAUUGCCAAUUCGCAGAACGAAUCACACACUCACAUUGAGCACAACUGUAAGCAUCGAUAUUAUAAAAACACAACAACCAGCCCGCUUAAUUUGCUAACCGUAUAUUUACUAAUUCAAUCGCACUGGGGAUGCGUUAGUCCAAACUUGGCUGUUCGUGCGACCGGUUCAAUAUUAGCUCGCGGCUCGUCACCAUAUCACGCUGUACACCAUAUCACGCUGUAUCAGUGCUGUGUUCAGUUUAUAGUUAGUUUAUUUUGUUUUCAAAAUUAUUAAACAAAUCAGUAAUGGCAUCAGUACGUGGUUGGGCUAAUUAUUGGCAACAAUUUUUUUCCGAUUAUGUUAGUACCAAUGAUAAGCAACGCAUACUGCCAUCCGUUAGUAUUCAGGUGUUUGACGAAAGGAUUGAUAUUAUAGAAAAACGUGAAAGACGCCGAAAUCGAAAAACUGCUAGCAUUUUUGCGAAGUUUUGGCUUUUGAUGUGGAAAAACUUUUUACUUCAAUACCGUCACAAAAUACAAACGAUCAUUCAAAUCCUCAUUCCGAUGUUGUUCACUAUGAAUCUAUUAUUUAUUCGACUUUUGAUAGAUCCGGAAAUUUAUUCGAACAAUACGAAAUUCGAAUCAUUUGGUAUCAACAAGACGUUCAAUCAGUCGUAAGUAAAAUAAUGUGUUAAAAUUAUAUCAUUUUCAUAAGUUUCGAUUAAGUCAUUUGGGGAAUUCAUAAUCCCAAGACCAUGUGCGUUGCUAAAAAACCACUCGAAACAAACAGAGUCGGCAAAAUCAAAAGUAAACAGAACAACGUGGCAUUUCAUCAUCAUAA